GCUGAAGUGGUGGAAUUGGUAGACACGCCAUCUUGAGGGGGUGGUGAGCGACGCUCGUGGGGGUUCAAAUCCCCCCUUCAGCA
rnacentral:tRNA from 1 species